CUACGGGUGGCACCAGUGGGGAAUAUUGCACAAUGGAGGAAACUCUGAUGCGGCAACGCCGCGUGGAGGAUGACACUUUUCGGAGCGUAAACUCCUUUUAUAUAGGAAGAAGAUGACGGUACUAUAUGAAUAAGCGCCGGCUAACUCCGUGCCAGCGGCCGCGGUAAUACGGAGGGCGCAAGCGUUACUCGGAAUCACUGGGCGUAAAGAGCGUGUAGGCGGAUUAAAAAGUCAGAAGUGAAAUCCUAUAGCUUAACUAUAGAACUGCUUCUGAAACUCUUAAUCUAGAAUAUGGGAGAGGUAGAUGGAAUUUCUGGUGUAGGGGUAAGAUCCGUAGAGAUCAGAAGGAAUACCGAUUGCGAAGGCGAUCUACUAGAACAUUAUUGACGCUGAGACGCGAAAGCGUGGGGAGCAAACAGGAUUAGAUACCCUAGUAGUC
rnacentral:rRNA from 1 species